UGAACGCUGGCGGCGUGCUUAACACAUGCAAGUCGAACGGUAACAGAAAGAGCUUGCUCUUUGCUGACGAGUGGCGCACGGGUGAGUAAUAUAUAGAUAACGUGCCUCUUAGUCUGGGAUAGCCAUUGGAAACGAUGAUUAAUACUAGAUACUCCUUCUGAUUCUAAUUUCAGUCGGGAAAGUUUUUCGCUAAGAGAUCGGUCUAUAUCCCAUCAGUUAGUUGGUAAGGUAACGGCUUACCAAGGCAAUGACGGGUAGCGGGUUUGAGAGGAUGAUCCGCCACACUGGUACUGAGACACGGACCAGACUCCUACGGGAGGCAGCAGUGAGGAAUAUUGCACAAUGGGCGAAAGCCUGAUGCAGCAACGCCGCGUGGAGGAUGACGCAUUUCGGUGUGUAAACUCCUUUUAUAAGGGAAGAAAAUGACGGUACCUUAUGAAUAAGCACCGGCUAACUCC
rnacentral:rRNA from 1 species